UGUGUGGUGAUCCGGCUGAGGACCGAGGACCCAGGCAUGGGCUUCUCCGAGUGACUGAAUCUAUCAGGAGGGAAAUCAGACCCUAACUGAUAUGUGCAGAGCUGUGACCUGGGCUCAUGGGGGCUUCUUCCAUCCUAUGGUCUCUCUGUCAAUGAGAAUGAGCAGCAUUGGAAUAGACAGGAAUGACAUUCUGGCCAACAAAGAAGCCUAUGAUCACAGGGUCCACUGAUGGAUUCAUCUUUACUAUCACACGGUAUCUUGUCCAGGAUGGGGCUUGUGUGGAGGUGAACAGCUAUGAUCGAAACAUGUGUCAAGCUGGGGCAGCUCUGAAGGGAGAAGAACUGAGAGUGACUGUCACCAUCUGUCAUGUGGAGAAGGUGAAUGACGGCGGUAGACUAGUAGCUAAAGUGAGCGGUCAUACCUUGGCUCUGGCUCCCCUAGAUUCAGUAUAAGUUUUAAAAUGCAAAAGAUUCACUUGCAUAUAAUAUUUCAUAAAUCUUCUGGGAGAUCAGAGAGGAGGACUACAGAAGGAAAAUUUAGAUAAUGUAGAAAUAAAAGAUAUUAAUAGAAUGUAUUUUUUAAAUAUUUCAUGUGUCUAUCACAAAUUCAGCUUGUACCACCACUCUGGAAUUCCAGAGAACUCUCCAAAUAUAAUUCAACUCAUUUUCCCAUGAAGAUUUUUAUCUCUGUCCCAGUUCCAUAUGACUCAAAAGGAAAACCUACUCACAUUAUAGAUUACAUUUAUUUUUUUGUGAGAAAUAGAAAGAUGAUAAAGCACAAAAUUAAGCCCCCCAGACACUGCUUGAUACUUUUUUAAGGGAUCAUCCAUCUGCAAGCCUAGCAGCAGCUGCCUCAUUAAUAGCCGAGUUCACACAUUUGCUCUUUCCAAAUAAAUCAGGAGUAACACCAUCUGGAAUCCUUCCAAUGGAAUUGAUGCUCCCAUAACCUGGAGACAAAGGAGAACUGCUAUCUUCCUCCUAUCAAUGCCAUAGACAUAAGAAGGCAGAGAUAGACAUUCUCUUCAUGGAUAGCAGCCCCAUUCUAUUGUGCUUAUAGCUCAAGAUUCCAGGAUGUUUGUCAAAUUGACUUUGGAGCCCUUUGGGAUCACAUAACUCUGGACAUGGGCACCCUAUUCUGCUUUUCCUCUAGCCGUACUCAAGGAUGUCUAGCUCAUUCCCCCACCAUUUUUGGUGGUCACAGUUCUGACCCUCAUAGAUGUGAGAGAGAGAGAUAGGGAGUCAACUCUCACUCAACUCUCACCAAAGUGAUCCCAUCUCACGAUAUGCUGUAUGGCAGUAAGAUCUGCCUAUCUUUCAGCAGCCUCAUAUAGUUCUCCCCAUAAGCAUUUCUCUGGCAGUCCUAGUUGUAUGGUCCAUCCCUUUUUCAAAAUGCCACAUUAAAUAUGUUUUGCAUGAUUACACAUGUAUAACCCAUAUCAAAUUGCUUACCAUCUCAGGUCGGGGAUGAGAAGAGGGAGGGAUGGGAUUUAGAACUCAAAAUUUUAAAAAAUGAAUGCUAAAAAUUAUUUUUAUGUAUAAUUGGGAAAAAAUAAAAUAUUAUUUAAAAAAAUAAUAAAGCACUCCAUUAUAGGCUGGCUACAUUUUAUAAUGUCCCACCAUUGUUCUAACCUUGGAUAUUGUCUUUCUGAGCUUUUGCAGACCUGAGAAAAAUUACAGAAAUGCAAAGAAAGUCAAUCCUCAUAGCAAGGGUUACAAUUGUGAUAUAUUCGAGUUGUUUUAUCACAAAAUAAAUGUCCAUGUCCCAUUGCAAACAGAAUUUUCUGGUGUUCAAAAUAUAAGCGUUUAUGUAAAGCUUUAAAGGUUGUAUGUGGAAGUGAUUAUAUACUCAAAAAGAAAAGCAAGCUGUACAUAAGAGAUUCACAAUUUCAUAUACCACCUUCUUUUUUGUUCUAUGGUACAUGUGGAAAGGCCUACUUUAGUUGCUGUUUGUUAAUAUGUAUUUUUAAA